rnacentral:rRNA from 1 species
GGGUUGUGAGGUUAAGCGACUAAGCGUACACGGUGGAUGCCCUGGCAGUCAGAGGCGAUGAAGGACGUGCUAAUCUGCGAUAAGCGUCGGUAAGGUGAUAUGAACCGUUAUAACCGGCGAUUUCCGAAUGGGGAAACCCAGUGUGUUUCGACACACUAUCAUUAACUGAAUCCAUAGGUUAAUGAGGCGAACCGGGGGAACUGAAACAUCUAAGUACCCCGAGGAAAAGAAAUCAACCGAGAUUCCCCCAGUAGCGGCGAGCGAACGGGGAGGAGCCCAGAGCCUGAAUCAGUGUGUGUGUUAGUGGAAGCGUCUGGAAAGGCGCGCGAUACAGGGUGACAGCCCCGUACACAAAAAUACACAUAUUGUGAGCUCGACGAGUAGGGCGGGACACGUGGUAUCCUGUCUGAAUAUGGGGGG